CUGUGCAUGGAGGGAACAAAAUAACGAAAGGAACGAAAAAGCAGCAGCUAAAAAAGGUUGCGCACAAACGAGCAACCCCCACCCCCUUCACGUUUUCUUCUCCAACGACCCCUUCCCCGUUCUUCUUCUUCAACCAACAGCCCCCAAAACCGGGAACAACCCAGCUCGCCGGAGAAAACACCAACGACCUCGUCUCUGCCUGAAACUCGCCGAAAAAAAGAGCUCCACCUGCUCAUCGGAGUAACGAGUUCCGAACGCGACAAGUAGAACCAAGCGACCUCAUACCAGCAGCUUCCGACGAGCCCACCCUAGCGAAACGACCCAACAACUAGCUCCCCACCACCCAUCUCGUCGACCUUGACCCACCAAACCUUCUGCCUGCGACGCCAUAUCCGGCGAGCUUCACCUUCGCACGCACACAGUCACACACAUGAACGGAGUGAGGUAACGAUCGUAAGGCAGCUGAAGUUUGGAGUCGUUUGUGAGUUCGAGUCGUGUGGGAGUUGCCGUACAUUGGUUCCGAUCUAUGGUUAUCGUUGUCCAUUUUUUUCGUCGAGCUCGAGCUACUGAAACUUGACACUACUGUAAACUCAGGCGUUCCGGUCUUACGUCGAGGUGAUGCUAGUUUCGUUCUAGUCGUAGUUCCGUCGAGGUCGUCAAAAAAUGUUCCGGUGCCCGAGCAUUAGAGUGAGAGCUUCCAGCACUCUCAGAGCUUUACCGGAGACUGCAAGAUAGCUACACGGCAUUCGUAUCCCUGCUUUCCUCCUUCCUAUCUUAGUAUUCUGUUAUUUCAGACUUAUGAUGUAUUAUUCAGUCAGUUUUGAGUUGUAUUUAGAGGCUCUUGACUAGUGACACCGGAUUUGUUGGGCUGUGUUAA